UAGCAACAUAGGUGAUCAUCCAAAACAGGUGAUAAAUGCUGUAUUUGUGGUUUGUCUCCUAUUAAAGGUGCAGAACAAUCUGCCGUGAACAGAAAUUCCAGGACAAGAGGUGCCUGUUGACACCUGAGAUGCUCUAGGAUAUUCAAGACAUCCAUGGAUACGAUAAAUUUGAUAUAGGACCGACAGAAGACCCUGGUGGAACAACAGCUUGAGGCCCUG
rnacentral:lncRNA from 12 species